GAUUUUACAUAGUUUAUUAAAAAAAAGAUUUUUAUAGAAAUUAAUUUUUUAAAAUUUAUAAAAAAUUAAGGUUAAGGAAAAAAAAAUUUGGUUAAUUUUGUGCCAGCAGCAGCGGUUAAACAAUUGAAUUUAAAAAUAAUUUUAAAAAAAAAAUAAUUAAAAAAAAAAAUAAUUUUUUUUAUUUUUAGGUUUAAUUUAUAAAUAAAAAAAUAUAUAUUUAUAUGAUUUUUAUUAGAUAAUAUAAAACUAGGAUUAGAUACCCUAUUAUAAAAUGAAAAAAAUUGUUAUUAAAUGAUUUUCAUUAAAACAAAAAAAUUUGGCGGUAUUUUAAUCUAUUUAGAGGAAUUUGCUCUGUAAAGGAUAUGACGCCAGUACCUUAUUUUAAUUAGUAGUAGUCAAUUUGUAUAUCGCUAUUUUUAUAAUAUUAUAAGAUAUUAUAAAAAUUAAUAAAAUGUUAAAAAUUUUAAGUCAAGAUGCAGUUAAUAUUAAAGAAUGAAGUGAAUUACAUUAUUAUAGUAUAAGUAAGGUAAAAUUUUAAAAUAUUUUAUUAAAAAGAAUUUAAAAGUAAAUUUUUAAUAGAAUGAAAAAUUGAAUAUAGCAAUAAAAUGUGUACAUAUUGCCCGUCACUCUCAUUUAAUGUUGAGAUAAGUCGUAACAAAGUAAAGGUACCAGAAGGUGUUUUU
rnacentral:rRNA from 1 species